rnacentral:rRNA from 1 species
UACGUAGGCAGCAAGCGUUGUUCGGAAUUACUGGGCGUAAAGAGUGUGUAGGCGGUGCUCUAAGUUCGGUGUGAAAUCUCCCGGCUCAACUGGGAGGGUGCGCCGGAAACUGGAAUGCUUGAGCGUGGGAGAGGAAAGCGGAAUUCCUGGUGUAGCGGUGAAAUGCGUAGAUAUCAGGAGGAACACCUGCGGUGUAGACGGCUUUCUGGACCAUUGCUGACGCUGAGACACGAAAGCGUGGGUAGCAAACAGG